rnacentral:lncRNA from 1 species
AUUUUCUUUACAAUAAUUUUGUAUGGUAGGUAUUAUUAUCCUCAAUUCACAGAUAAAGAAAGGGAGACAUAUGAGGCUAAAUAAUUUACCCAAGAUUAAAAAUUAGAAAGUGACAGAGCCAGGAUUCAAAUGCCACUGGCCUAUCUCCGGUGUGCAAACCCUCUCACUUGCCAAAUCCAUCCUAGGCCAUGAUGAGCAAGAUGAAAGGUGCUCAUGGAGGCAGCAAAGGUGUUGCACUCAUAAUACCACCACUGACAUCUACCUAACUCCUCACCAUCAGGACUCAUUCUAGCCUUCUUUUCAAGUGAGUUCAAAUGUGGCCUCAGAACCUUCCUUAACUCAAUGUUCCAGGGAGCCAUUAUUAACCAAUUAGAACUGGCACAUGAAUCAAGAUGUAUUUGCCAUUCCUGGUUGAAUAUAUCAAGCCUAUUCGUUUACUAAUUUUUGAAUAUUUUUAUUUUAGACAGUUAUUCAAAGUUGCUGCAGGUUACAAAUGAAUUCAAAUGUGUACAUAAAAAGAGUACCAGGGAUCAAACUCAGGACCUUGCGCUUGCCAGGCAGACAUGGCGCCACUGUGUCAUGGUUACUUCUAACCUAGGAUCCUAUGCACAACCAAAAGCAAACAGAACAUUUUGCGACAAAUGUCUAGAAAAC